GACGAACGCUGGCGGCGUGCUUAACACAUGCAAGUCGAACGAUGAACCACUUCGGUGGGGAUUAGUGGCGAACGGGUGAGUAACACGUGGGCAAUCUGCCCUUCACUCUGGGACAAGCCCUGGAAACGGGGUCUAAUACCGGAUAACACUGCCACGGGCAUCUGUGGUGGUUAAAAGCUCCGGCGGUGAAGGAUGAGCCCGCGGCCUAUCAGCUUGUUGGUGAGGUAACGGCUCACCAAGGCGAUGACGGGUAGCUGGUCUGAGAGGAUGGCCAGCCACAUUGGGACUGAGAGACGGCCCAGACUCCUACGGGAGGCAGCAGUGGGGAAUCUUGCGCAAUGGCCGAAAGGCUGACGCAGCGACGCCGCGUGGGGAUGAAGGUCUUCGGAUUGUAAACCCCUGUUGCCCGGGACGAAUGCCGCCUUUAGAGGCGGGUGACGGUACCGGGUGAGGAAGCACCGGCUAACUCUGUGCCAGCCGCCGCGGUAAC
rnacentral:rRNA from 1 species